AUACGGAGGAUGCGAGCGUUAUCCGGAUUUAUUGGGUUUAAAGGGUGCGUAGGCGGGUGUUUAAGCGUGAGGUGAAAUGCCGGGGCUCAACCUCGGAACUGCCUCGCGAACUGGGCGCCUUGAAUGCUCCUGCCGUGGGAGGAAUGUGUGGUGUAGCGGUGAAAUGCAUAGAGAUCACACAGAACACCGAUUGCGAAGGCAUCUCACGAAGGGGUGAUUGACGCUGAGGCACGAAAGCGUGGGGAUCAAACAGGAUUAGAUACCCUGGUAGUCCACGCAGUAAACGAUGAUAACUAACCGCUGGGUCUUUUAUGGUUCAGUGGCCAAGCGAAAGCGAUAAGUUAUCCACCUGGGGAGUACGACCGCAAGGUUGAAACUCAAAGGAAUUGACGGGG
rnacentral:rRNA from 1 species